rnacentral:rRNA from 1 species
CUAGUAAUCGCGGAUCAGCAUGCCGCGGUGAAUACGUUCCCGGGCCUUGUACACACCGCCCGUCACACCACGAGAGCUUGCAACACCCGAAGUCGGUGAGGUAACCCGCAAGGGAGCCAGCCGCCGAAGGUGGGGCAAGUGAUUGGGGUGAAGUCGUAACAAGGUAGCCGUACCGGAAGGUGCGGCUGGAUCACCUCCUUUCUAAGGA